GGCAGAUGAUUAUAGGAUCAGACUCCACAAUCCAACAACACUUUGUUCUCAUAUCAAUAAGGUUAUCUCCGCAAGUAAGGUCGGAGUAAGAAUUCAAGAUAAGAAAACUAAGCGAUCAAGGUUGAGCAGCGAAGUGGUGGAGGAAGUGCUAUUGAGACAAGACAUUUAAUUCAG